AAAGCAUUCUUAGUACAACAUGCUGGUCAGUACCCAAAUACAGAGCUUCUAUAUAGUUUAUGUACACAAAGUAUACUUAUUUUACCCCAAAGAAAAGAAGCCCUGAUACCAAAUUAAAAUAUCUCUGACACCUAUCAGUGGUGAGGAUCUGAAAGAAAAAUGUAAAUGAACGGAUAUGAGCUACACGGCUCAGUAAGUAAUCAUACAUAAUCUUACCGGAUCAAAUAUAAUGACAACCAUGUUUAUGCAGGAUUUGAGAGGCUAACAUACACAUCAAAUGUCCGUUGUUCCAUAUACAAUAUAUAUAUGCAAAUCAACCUGUAUAUUAAUGCAUGUACCAUCAUGAUAUUUCAUAAACAUGAAAUGCAACGUAAAACUUUAACAUUAAUCCAAGAUUUUAAAUCCAUACUCCCAGAUAGUAGUGCAACCAAGUUAUUAUACCCACUUGCAGGGGCCAUAUGCGCAUGCCGAGUUAUUAUACCCACUGGCGGGGGCCCUUGCAUAGGAUCUGAGAGUUCAUAAAUCAUAAUUUUCAUAAAUCAUACUUUAUGAGUUAUUUGAAAACUGAUUAAUGGCACCUCAAAUUAUUAAGUUCGUGGUCAUGCUAUGAAUAUCAUUUUAAUGUGUUUUUGAUACCAUAUUUCAUGGAAUAUAUAAUACACUUGAACCAUGCUAUCCUUGGUAAUUCAUGCACAUCUACUAGCAUAUGCUUGAUUCUGCAAAAAUACUAAACAUGUUUUAAUAGGGUUUGAGAAGCUGACAUGUAUACUAUAUAACAAAUCAUCAUGAUAAAAUAUUCAUGCUGAAACAAUAAAUCCCUAUUUCAUAGCAACAAGUAUCUUACUUAACAAUUUAUUAUGAUGAAGUAUGCAUACUGAGUCAAUAAAUUCGUGUUUCAUGUCAACAAGUAUUUUCACGAAACAAUAACAUAACAUAAAACGUCCACCGACAUGCCGUGGUCAUGCUCUCAGAUGCUACUGUGAAGUCAUUUUCGGCCACUGGCGAGGCCAGCUCAGUUAUUAGGCGGCCACUGGCGGGGCUGGCUCAGUCAUUCUCGGCUACUGGUAAGGCCGGCUCAGUUGCAUUUGAUCAGUAGCUCUUAAGAGUUCGUAGACAAUCCUUCUUAUAGGUAGUACCUCAUGGAUGCUAUAGCGAAUUCAUUAUCAGUCACUGGUUGGGCCUGUUCNNNNNNNNNNNNNCCACUGGCGGGGCCGGCUCAGUCAUUAUCGGCCACUGGCAAGGCCGGCUCAGUUGCAUUCGACCCGUAGCAUCAAGAGUCCUUAGGUACCCCUUGCAAGAUGUGCAUAUCGCUAGAUGCAAUUCAUCAUCAUUCUUUACACUUGUAACACAAUUAUACUAAUGACAAUCAUGAUAAUGUAAUCCAAUUCAUCUUGCAUGCAUAAUAAAAUCUGCCUAAGCAUAAUGUAUGCACAAUCAUAAAUUGUGUGACUGACCCUCAGUCACUGGUUGGGCCUGUUCAGUUAUUAGUCAGCAUGCCACUCAUAUACAAGAUUCAUAAUUCAUAUCUUAGGAUAUAAUAUAAUCCAAUUAUUUCGUAGGCAUAAUGGAAUCUGCAUAAGCAUAAAGCAUACAUAAUCAUAACUUGUAAAACAUGCCACAUACAUUCCUAGUUCAUAACUCAUAAUUUAGGGUACAUGAUCUACAAUACAAUUAUGACAGGUUAAUUUCAUGCAUGAUCCAUAGAAGAUUAGGGCAGGUUACUUACAUGAUUCCGAAGGAGAUUGCAGUAUCCCGUGCUCCGGUGCCUCCACUCCAACACCUCCUCUUCCGGUUCACAGGUUCCUGUUUUAUAAUACACCCAUUCAUGAAAUAUAUACACGAAUAACACUUUAAAAUCUUAAUAAGCAUAGUACUCACAUGAUCCACAAUAAGAUUAAAAUAGAUUACUUACCUCAAUUCGCUUUCCAAAUUUCUCAAGUCCAGGUGACAAAUCCUUAAUCACCUAAAACAACAUCAUAGGGAUCACAUUAUUCCCCAUUUAUUUAUUAUAAAAUUUCUUAGUUCAUCAUACUAUGAACUUACUUGCUUGGAUCCCAUCCAAGGAUCUAGCCCAAGUCCAAUUUACCCAAUUUAGAGCCUUUGGGGCUCAAUUUAAAACAAGAUUGGGUCCACAUAGGUUAAUUAGGUUUUUAAUUAAAGGAUUGGGCCUGGUUCAUGAUUGAGUCCAGCCUUUUCUAGCCAAUUUGGUCUUCCGAUCUGGUCAAUAGGCUUAGUCCCAAGUUUAAUUGGGUUUAAUUUUGGUUCAGGGUCAAUGUGGCUCAUCUGGGCCUGAGUCAAGGUCAGCCCGAGGUCGAUUUGGCCUCAAAUUAGUUGAAUUGGGCUUAAAUUGGGCCUGAUUCAUAUUCAAUUAGGUCUGCUGAAACUAACUCAACUUAAUUGGAUUCGGACCCAAAUUAAUUUGGACUUAAUUCAGUUCGAAUUUGACCCAAUUUGUAGUUUGGGCUCGUCCAGACUUAGCCCAAUCUGAUUGGGCUCGGAUUCAGGUCUAAUUGGCUAAACCAAUUUCUUAUUAAUGGGCUUAACGGGUUUCGGACCCAAACCCCGUUCGGCCGGACCCGUUAAGGGUCUCUACUCUCUCCUUUUUUUUCUUUUCUUUUCCUUUUCCCUCUUUUUUUUUUCUUUUCUUUUUCUUUCUCUCUUUUCUUUUCUUUUUCUUCUCUUCUCCAGAACCUUCCCGACUCCCUCCUCUCUUCACCCUUUCUCCUCCUCUCUUCUCCGACGAAGGGAGGACGGCGAGCGUAAGGGGGCCGGACGGCGAGCGGAAGGGGGCCGGACCGGCGGCGUCGGCGGCCGGCCCCGCAGCGUCCCCGGCCGAGCCUGCGGCGCUCUCGGCCAUGCCUACGGUCGACGCUCAUGUCGACGGUGCUCGCGGCCGAAGCCGGCGGCCGCCGCACACGAUGACGAGCCGGUGAGUCCCCUCUUCCUCUUUUCUUCCUUCUUUCCUUCUUUCUUUUCUUCUUUUCUUUGUUAUCCCGAGGCUUUCUUCUCUGUUUUCUUACGGGACGGAGAAGAGAAACCUGGAACAGUGGUGUUCUCCGACCCUCAAGGUGGCCUCCACCGAGAGCCGGCGAUGCCUGUGGUCGAUGGCAUGCCGACGGCCACAGGUGCCUCCCCUUCUUUUUCCAACUCCAUUGGUUCCUCCCCUUUCCCUCUCCCUCUUCUUCUUCCUUUCUUUCUUUUAAAUCUUAUACUUAAUAAAUUGAAAGGAGGUAGCCAGGAGGGAUCUACCUUGAUUCCGAAGGAGAUUGCAGUAUCCCGUGCUCCGGUGCCUCCACUCCAACACCUCCUCUUCCGGUUCACAGGUUCCUGAGAUUUUUCUCAAGGGAG
rnacentral:lncRNA from 1 species